GUUUGAUCCUGGCUCAGAACGAACGCUGGCGGCGUGCUUAACACAUGCAAGUCGAGUGCGCGUACCCUAGCAAUACGGUAUGGCGCACGGCGCACGGGUGCGUAACACGUGGGCAAUCUGCCCUUCGAUGGGGAAUAACCUCGCGAAAGCGAGGCUAAUUCCGCAUAACAUUCCCUGGACUUCGGUUCGAGGACUCAAAGCCGUAAGGCGUCGAAGGAGGAGCCCGCGCACGAUUAGCUAGUUGGUAGGGUAACGGCCUACCAAGGCUUUGAUCGUUAGCUGGUCUGAGAGGAUGGCCAGCCACACUGGAACUGAGACACGGUCCAGACUCCUACGGGAGGCAGCAGUGGGGAAUCUUGCACAAUGGGCGAAAGCCUGAUGCAGCGACGCCGCGUGGGGGAUGAAGCAUUUCGGUGUGUAAGCCCCUUUCGACCCGGACGAAUACCUCGCAAGAGGAGUGACGGUACGGGUAUAAGAAGCCCCGGCUAACUACGUGCCAGCAGCCGCGGUAAGACGUAGGGGGCCAGCGUUGUUCGGAAUUACUGGGUGUAAAGGGUUCGUAGGCGGUGUGGCAAGUUGGGAGUGAAAUCUCUGGGCUCAACCCAGAGGCUGCUUCCAAAACUGCCGUGCUUGAGUGUGGGAGAGGCGCGUGGAAUUGCAGGUGUAGCGGUGAAAUGCGUAGAUAUCUGCAGGAACACCCGUGGCGAAAGCGGCGCGCUGGACCACUACUGACGCUGAGGAACGAAAGCUAGGGGAGCAAACAGGAUUAGAUACCCUGGUAGUCCUAGCCCUAAACGAUCAGGACUUGGGGUGCCACCCGUUCGGGUGUCGUCCCGGAGCUAACGCGUUAAGUCCUGCACCUGGGGAGUACGGUCGCAAGACUGAAACUCAAAGGAAUUGACGGGGGCCCGCACAAGCGGUGGAACAUGUGGUUCAAUUCGACGCUACGCGAGG
rnacentral:rRNA from 1 species